AAUGCACCAAUUUGUAAGUCGCUCUGGAUAAGAGCUUCUGCUAAAUUACCUAAA
rfam:Salmo salar isolate Sally breed double haploid chromosome ssa19, whole genome shotgun sequence.